UACGCACGCUGGCGGCGUGCUUAACACAUGCAAGUCGAACGGAAAGGCCUGCUUUCCCUUGUGGAUUGCGGGUACUCGAGUGGCGAACGGGUGAGUAACACGUGAGUGAUCUGCCCCCAACUUGGGUAUAAGCCUGGGAAACUGGGUCUAAUUCCCGAUAGGACUGCAGGGUGGUGCCUGUGGUGGAAAACGAUUUUCUAGUGGUUGGGGAUGAGCUCGCGGCCUAUCAGCUUGUUGGUGGGGUAAUGGCCUACCAAGGCGGCGACGGGUAGCCGGCCUGAGGGGGUGGGCGGCCACAUUGUGACUGAGAUACUGCCCAGACUCCUACGGGAGGCAGCAGUGGGGAAUAUUGCACAAUGGGCGGAAGCCUGAUGCAGCGACGCCGCGUGGGGGAUGACGGCCUUCGGGUUGUAAACUCCUUUCGACCGCGAGGAAGCCACCUGGUUGGAAGGGUGGUGACGGUAGUGGUAGAAGAAGCACCGGCUAACUACGUG
rnacentral:rRNA from 1 species